UACAGAGACUGCAAGCGUUAUUCGGAUUCACUGGGCGUAAAGGGUGCGCAGGCGGCCAGGUGUGUUAGGCGUGAAAGCCCGGGGCUUAACCCCGGAAUUGCACCUAAAACUACUUGGCUAGAGCAUUGGAGAGGGUAGCGGAAUUCACGGUGUAGCAGUGAAAUGCGUAGAUAUCGUGAGGAACACCAGAGGCGAAGGCGGCUACCUGGACAAUUGCUGACGCUCAGGCACGAAAGCGUGGGGAGCGAACAGG
rnacentral:rRNA from 1 species